GACAGCGGGUGCAAACGUUGUUCGGAAUUACUGGGCGUAAAGCGCGUGUAGGCUGCUCUGUGUGUCGGCUGUGAAAGCCCUGGGCUCAACCUGGGAAUUGCGAUGGAUACUGGCGAGCUAGAGUACGGUAGAGGAUGGUGGAAUUCCCGGUGUAGCGGUGAAAUGCGUAGAGAUCGGGAGGAACACCCGUGGCGAAGGCGGCCAUCUGGACCAGUACUGACGCUGAGGCACGAAAGCGUGGGGAGCAAACAGG
rnacentral:rRNA from 1 species